CCCGGGGGGAAACUAGAGCUAAUACAUGCAGUUCAUUGGCGUGAUCACAAGUUGCGUCAAAGCAUUUAUUAGACUUAACCAUCUACUGUACGCAAGUAUAGUAAGGCGAAUCUAGAUAACUUUGCUGAUCGUAUGGCCCUGUGCCGACGACGUUUCAAUUGAGUUUCUGCCCUAUCAAUUUGUUGGUAAGGUAUUGGCUUACCAAGGUUGCAACGGGUAACGGGGAAUCAGGGUUCGAUUCCGGAGAGGGAGCCUGAGAAACGGCUACCACAUCCAAGGAAGGCAGCAGGCGCGCAAAUUACCCAAUCUAGACAGUAGGAGGUGGUGAAGAGAAGUACUUGGUGGUGGCCUAAUGGUCCCAACCAGGAAUGAACGUAAUUUAAGCAAUUCGAUGAGUAACUACUGGAGGGCAAGUCCUGGUGCCAGCAGCCGCGGUAAUUCCAGCUCCAGUGGCGUGAUUUAAAGUUGCUGCGUUUAAAACGCUCGUAGUUGGAUCACGCAGUGGCAUACAGUAACAUGGGUCGUGUUUUUUGACGAUUUUCUUCAACAAGAUUAUUGGAUCUGGACCGAUCUGUGUGUUUACGCUGUAUGUCACUAUUUGCACACAAGUAUGGUAUUUGGUCUUUAGUGAAUCGAGUAUCAUGUCUUGUGGAGUGUGCCUUGAAUAAAACAGAGUGCUCAAAGCAGGCGAACGCUUGAAUG
rnacentral:rRNA from 1 species